UUGCUGUGGCUGUGGUGUAGGCUGGCGGCUACAGCUCCAAUUUGACCUCUAGCCUGGGAACCUCCGUAUGCGACUAGUGCGGCCCAAAAAGCCAAAAAAAAAAAAAAAAAGGUAGUACAAAGCCCUGUUGAAAAUGGAUUUAUAAAGCUUUUUAGCCAUACGUGUCUGGGUAUAAAAACAUUUAUUUUAUUUUUUCCUUUUAGGGCCACACUUGCAGCAUAUGGAAAUUCCCAGGCUAGGGUCAAAUCGGAGUUGCAGCUGUCAGCCUACACCACAGCAAUGCUGGAUCCGAGUUACAUCUGUGACCUCUGCCACAGUUUGUAGCAAAGCCAGACCCUUAACCCACUGAGCAAGGCGAAGGAUUGAACCCACAUCCUCGUGGACACUAUGCUGAGCCACAAUGGGAACUCCUGAACAUAAAAAUUUUCAAACAGACAAUGAGACACCAGCAUCAAAUGCUAUCACUUACAUGGGGAAUCUGAGAAAAGGACAAAAUGAACUUUGCAGAACAGAUACUGACUCACAGACUUUGAAAAACUUAUGGUUUCCAAAGGAGACAGGUUGGGGGGGGUGGGGGGAUGCCCUGGGGGUUUGGGAUGGAAAUGUUAUAAAAUUGGGUUGUGAUGAUCAUUGUACAACUAUAAAUAUAAUAAAUUCAUUGAGUAAUAUAAAACAAACAAGCAAAAAAAAAACCCCAGACCCAUCCUAUUACUUUAGAGAUACAUUGUGCCCUUGACAGGUGAUAAUUAUGCCUGCUCCACUACAGCCUCCUCUCAGGGUGAGUGUGUUUUUGCUGCUUUCUUUAUUCACAGAGUCAAACCAAAGAGAAAAUUCUUUUUAACUUCAUCAUCUUUUCCUUUGCCUGUUUCUUUGUUACUCUUGCUGCCUCUGACUUAAGUGAAAAACUGGCUGGGUUGUAUGUUUCUUCAUAUUUGGAAAAGGACAAGGUCCUUAUGAAUCAUCUUGUCAGAAGCACCAGGAAUAAAUCUCAGCUUUGCUCUGAAAAGGAGGGCACAGGGAGCAUCUCUUUCUUUUCCAUCCACAAACAGGCAGUCUCCAAGAAACCUGUUGUUAUUUGAAAGAAAAUUCACUUAAACAGGGAGAGCUUUUUUGUUCAAAGAAUUCGUUGACUCCAUCUCUUGUAGAAGAGCUUUAGAUACAGUAUUACUUAUAAAAGAAGUCCACUAGAAGAGAAAUACCCCCAAAUUUAGUGAUGUAACACAAAAUUUAUUUAACAUUGGCCAUGUGCUGAGUACAGUUCUAGGCAAUGAAAAAAAAAAAUCCUACCAUCAUUAAAAAAAGAAGAAGAAAAAAAAAUGUACCUCCAGAUGGGAGAAAGCAGAUAAUAAAUAAUUAAAAUAGUGUGUUAGAUGGUGCUUAGAUCGGGGAAAAAGUAAAGCAGGAGGUUGGUGGUAAUGGGGUACUGAGAAUAACCACAUCAUCUAACCAGUCCUCUUUUAGAAAUCUCAUUUCUGGAAUCUAAAAUAUGUCACAAGGCAGCCUGUCAACAAAACAGAAACAGACUCAUAGACAUAGAGAAUGACUUCUGGUUGCCAAGGAGGGCGGGGGGGGGAGUAGGAUGGACUGGGAGUUGGGGGUUAGUAGAUGCAAACUGUGACUUUUAGAGUGGAUAAGCAAUGAGGUCCUACUGUAUAGUACAGGGAACUACAUCCAGUCUCUUGGGAUAGACCGAGACAGAAGAUAAUAUAAGAAAGGGAGUGAGUGUGUGUGUGUGUAAAUGAAUAAAAGUGUGUUUGUGUGUUUGUGUGUAUAAAUAAAUAAAACCAGGUCACUUUGCUAUAUAGCAGAAUUGGCACAUUAUAGAUCAACUAUUACUUUAAAAAGAAAUUCAUUUCUUCCCUUGUUCUGAGCUGGUUUCUGUGUACACACCACCACUCCUUAAAGUUGGGCAUUUGGAUUGGUUGUGUUUGUUGCCUUGUCAGUAGCACAUAAAUCUAGGGACACAUCCUCGGGUUGUGGCAUAUGACCAUUCCUUUAAGUCAACUUUAGUCUGUGCUUGUAUAGUUAGCCCCUUUUUUAUUUUAGUAACAACAGAGCUUCUCUCUAUUGGAUAUUCUGCUUUUCUUUAUUCUUCAAGUAGGAUGCUUAUCUUGCAGGUGAUCUGCAAAUUGGUGGUCAUCACAUUUGACAUAGCUUGGGCUCUAUAUUGUCCUAAUGCAUGAGAUUAUUCAUAUGAAAUUACCAUAGCUUGGGCUGUAUAUUGUCCUAAUGCAUGAGAUUAUUUAUAUGAAAUGGCCCUUUAAUUUAGACUCAAAAAGAACAAAAUUUAACUGGCCUUACAAAAUUUGAAGAGAAAUACUGCCCUCAAAGAACUUCUAAGUUAUUAGUAAAAAUCAAAACAGGUGUUGACCACUGAUUCUGGGAUGAGUUAAGAAGUAUUAUGCACCAGAGGUCCAGGGCCCCAGUGCCCAGAACUAGACAAUCAAUAAACGUUUCUAAGAGAAGGCUCCCACUUAUUACUGUCAUCCAGGUGUGAACUAGGAUGCUGGCCAAUCAGAAUGGCACCAUGUCGGGGGCGGGGUUUAAAGGAGACCUUGGACCAAACAGACUGCUGAAGACGAGGGUAGCGAUGCUGGUGUGUUCUCAUAGGAGGAGCAGGCAUCCUGUUGGGAAUAAAAUGAGGAGCUGGGUCUGGUUCCAGUCCAGUUUGAGAUGCGAUGAAGGGUCCCCACAUACCUGGGAGUCAAGGAUCGGGGAAGGUGGUUUGUCAAUAGGAGAGCAACUCGGGGCUGGAGCUGGAGAGCGGAUCAGGAGCAGAGAGGUGAUUGCUAGAGUCCUGGCAGGAAAUCGGAUGCUGAGGAAAGAGGCCACGAUGACAGCAUGUGGGGGAAAUCCCACCUUUUAUGAGCAAGGUAAAGGAGAGGCCUGAGAGCAAGAAAAGGCUGUGGGAGGUGAGGAAAAGCGAUCACUCUGUGCCAUUGCUAUCCUGGAGGACCUCCUGGCAAAGGGAUUUUAGUUGUUAAUCCCAGGGCCCAUCCCUGAGAAUCUGGGCUUUGUAACCAAAUGCAGAUUAUAUGAUUGUAUCCUCUACCAAAUACUUAGUGACUGUUAAACCUUUUACUAUUCUUUGUUCAAGUCACUUUAUCAAAUCAUACAGUUAAUCUUUAAAAGAAGCCUAGAAGUCGAGUUCCAUGUUACAAAUGAAGAACAUAAAGGAUGGGAAACUUGCUCAAGGUCACACAGCCACCUAGUGGUGAAAACAGGAUUCACAGCCAGGCAGUUGGGUCUAAGGACUUGGCUUUGGGCCACUAUACUCUCUUCUCUCUACCUAAAGCCCCAGGAAAUAGCUGGAUAUAACCUGGGAUCUUUUUUUUUUUUUUCGUCUUUCUGUCUUUUGUCCUUUGUAGGGCCACACCCAUGGCACAUGGAGGUUCCUAGGCUAGAGGUCUAAUUGGAGCUGUCGCUGCUGGCCUACACCACAGCCACAGCAGUACAGGAUCUGAGCCGCGUCUGCAACCUACACCACAGCUCACGGUAAUGCCGGAUCCUUAACCCACUGAGCGAGGCCAGGGAUCGAACACACAACCUUGUGGUUCCUAGUUGGAUUCCUUUCCGUGGCGCCACGACGGGAACUCCAUAACCUGGGAUCUUAAGAGGAUGGUUUCUGGCAGGUUUCCUCUUCUACUGCAUGUCCCCCUUUCUCCAUAUCCCAUGCUUUAAUGUUUUCCAGCAGAUGCUUUUAGCCGACAAAUGUCUGAGGCUCUUCCCUCGGUGGGAGCUUUUCUGGCCUCAUGUUAGGUGGAAGCAUCCUUCCCCCGGCACCGCGCUGGGCCUCUGAGCAUGGACGACAUAGGCACAGAGUGUGCAUUACAUCCUCCCUGUGUUAUCACAACACACCAGAGGCUCAGAGGCACUAAGUGCUUUUUAAUCACCCCAGAUUUGCAAGAGUAUGUCCUAAUGACACUUCCUAAAGGGCAUCAUUACUUCUACAAAAAUGUUUUCUCAUAAAAUGUUGGUUAGAAAAAAAUGCCCAAUAAAUCCUGUCUUGGGCAAUUACACCUCAUCUCCAUAACCUUCGCACCACCGUCAGCAAAUGAGGUCUCGUUUCUUCCUCUUUCUCAGAGUCACCCUCAGCCACAGCUGGGCAGUGGCAGGUUCUGCUUGGAGCCCGAUCCUAAUGUGUGGUCUCACUUGGACACAGACCAUGCAUUAAGUGGCAGACAGUGGUCACAAGAAUUAUAACAUGUCUGAGGCGCAUCGUUCUUUUAACAGCUUUGAAAAGCAGCAGGUUAUAAUAAGCCAAUGAUGGGUCAGUGGAUUGUCCACAAGGAGUUGAACAGGGGGCACUGGUCACAUUUUAAGACCUCCGUGAACACUGUAUUCUAAAAUACCUUGACACAGAGUCCCUAUCGUGACUCAGUGGUAACGAACCUGACUGGUAUCCAUAAAGACUUGGGUUUGAUCCCUGGCCUUACUCAGUGGGUUAAGGAUCUGACAUUGCUGUAAGCUAUGGUGUUGGUUGCAGAUGCAGUUUGGAUCUGGUGUGGCUGUGGUUGUGGUGUAGGCAGGCAGCUCCAGCUCCAGUUUGACCCCUAGCCUGGGAACCUCUGUAUACUUUGGGUGUGGCCCUUUAAAAAAAAAAAAAAAAAAAGGCAAAAAGAAAAAAUACCCUGAUGCCUCCUCCGGGAAUGCUUAAGAGUUAUCAACUGUUGAAGAAAAAAAAAAAAUCAGUAUAUUCAGUACUAACCAAUCUAGGUUGUCCUGCGCUGUUUAAAUCAUGACCUAAGCAUAUUUAGCAUUUUGAAUCCAACUGCAUUCAAAGAAGAAAAGAGGUAAUAUUUGAAUAAACAAUCAAAUGGGAUCUGGCAAGUGUAACAGUUACAAAAUCAGUUGAAACAAGGAAGAAGGUACAAAUUAUUUUAGUACUGUGAUCAAAUUGAUUCUAAUGAUACAAAAUAGUAGGGUAUUUAUUUGUGAAGUUAACUGCAUUAUUCUGUUGUGUUUUGUUUUGUUUUUUUAACUUUUAAAUGAAUUCCCUAGCCAUAGGUAUGUGGCAGGAAAUUUAUGGUUAAUGAUGAUUCUUUCUUGCUAAUAAUCAGGCGACUCUGCAAAGAGCAGUGUUUAUUUGGGGGUUAGAGAUGUUAU
rnacentral:lncRNA from 1 species